rnacentral:lncRNA from 1 species
AUUACUUUCUCAAAAAUCGAAGAGAGGGUAAAGGAACAGUACCACUGCUGGAUAAUUGGAAAGUCCCUGUGUGUCAACCUCUGUGCUUCGUGGCAAGGUAGACUAGCAAACAUGCCCAACCUUUACUCACAUUCGAGAAAACACUCCCAACAAGAUUGCUUGCUCCAAAAUCGAAGAGGCACCGCCCUUCGAAUCUCGAGAGCCAGACUCCCAACAUGAUUACUUUCUCAAAAAUCGAAGAGAGGGUAAAGGAACAGUACCACUGUUGGAUAAUUGGAAAGUCCCUGUGUGUCAACCUCUAUGUUUCGUGGCAAGGUAGACUAGCAAACAUGCCCAACCUUUACUCACAUUCGAGAAAACAUUCCCAACAAGAUUGCUUGCUCCAAAAUCGAAGAGGCACCGCCCUCCGAAUCUCGAGAGCCAGACUCCCAACAUGAUUACUUUCU